GCAAGUCGAACGGGGUUAAGCUUGUAGCAAUGCAAGUUUACCUAGUGGCGAACGGGUGCGUAACACGUGAGUAAUCUGCCGAAAAGUGGGGAAUAGCUCGCCGAAAGGCGAAUUAAUACCGCAUGUGGCUAGGGAUGUAUCAUCCUAUAGUUAAAGUCGUAAGACGCUUUUUGAUGAGCUCGCGGCCUAUCAGCUUGUUGGUGGAGGUAAUGGCCCACCAAGGCAAUGACGGGUAGCUGGUCUGAGAGGACGAUCAGCCACACUGGAACUGAGACACGGUCCAGACACCUACGGGUGGCAGCAGUCGAGAAUUUUUCACAAUGGGGGCAACCCUGAUGGAGCAACGCCGCGUGGAGGAUGAAUGGCUUCGAGCCUGUAAACUCCUGUCAAGCGGGAGCAAGAAAGUGAUAGUACCGCUAGAGGAAGAGACGGCUAACUCUGUGCCAGCAGCCGCGGUAAUACAGAGGUCUCGAGCGUUGUUCGGAUUUAUUGGGCGUAAAGGGUGCGUAGGCGGUGUGGCAAGUCAAGUGUGAA
rnacentral:rRNA from 1 species